rnacentral:rRNA from 1 species
UACAGGGGUGCAAACGUUGCUCGGAAUCAUUGGGCGUAAGCGCACGUAGGCGGAUUGUUAAGUCGGGGUGAAUCCUGAGGCUCAACCUCAGAACUGCCUUCGAUACUGGCAAUCUCGAGUCCGGAAGAGGUUGGUGGAACAGCUAGUGUAGAGGUGAAAUUCGUAGAUAAUUAGCUAGAACACCAGUGGCGAAGGCGGCCACUGGUCCGGUACUGACGCUGAGGUGGACGAAA